CAGAUAAGAUCUAUCGCAAAAAAGGACCGUGAUGUUAUGUAGAAAGGACAAAAUCCUUUGUCUCUUUUGUCCGUGCAUAUAAGGAGCAUAAUUGCUCCUUCAUUUUCAGGUGGAAAGUCAGGGAUGGGAUAUGGUUUACUACAACAUUGAUUAUAAUAUUAUGGCCUUAUAUACCAGAGUCGUAUGUUGCCACAAAGUUGGGCGAGGAACUAUCACGACUGCUCUUUCUCUUGUGGCUGUUAGUCCGGUCGUGUUUAAUUUUCCUGAACUUAGCCAUGUAAAUUUUUAUUUCUUAGCCAUGAAUUCUAUAUAUGUAACCCACAUCAAGUAAUUAGUCGUGUUUCUUAUUAUGUAUGGAGUACUAUAUUCAUACUUUUAACUAUUUCUAUGGUAAUUAGGC